GGAAAUGGGGAUCCUACCGCCUUGCUUUCCAUCCCUUCGUGCAGUUCUGAUGGCUCAGAGUGGGAGGUGCCCGGUGCACGUGGCUCUACCAAGGCAAGGUCCAUUUGCCAGGUUACAGCCACGCACAUUUUUAGGGUCUUCUCUCCUUUCUCAGCAUCCCCACAGUGCUCACUGGCCCCCGUCUGCUGGCCCAGCAGCUGCUAGAACCUGCAGCUUCCUAGCUUUUCCUCCUCAAACGCUGCAGCUGAUGGCGGAGGUGAUGUCCAGGUAGCAGCCCCAAGCUCGUUCCUGUCUCACUGAUCAACUUCAUCACUCGUGGCAGCACGGGGGUCGUGCCUGCACUCGUGGGACAGCACGAGACGAGCGCUCUGCCCUUAAGCCCCCACCUGUUAGCUCAGUUGUUGCUGCACCGUCGUGCUACGGUGGCCACUUCUCAUGCCUCUGCCCUAUUGCAGGGCCAGGCAGACCAGAGGAGCCGUGGGAAGCUCUUUCCCUUCUCCCUGUGCUCUCCAGUCCGGCUGCAUGGCCUGUUUGGUGGUGGGGGGUUCCACGCAGCGCCGGCAGACGGUGACUCCUUUGCCUCCCCCCCCUCUCUCUGUCAGCAGACACCAAUGCCUCUAUGGGAAAAGCCCUUCUGUCACCUGUGUCACACCCUGUGCCGGGGCAGCUCAGACCAGGGUGGCUGUGAGUUUGCUCUUUGGUCCCACUCGCCUCUUUGGAGGUGAUGCUUUUUGUGCUUAUGGGUAGAACAGCCCUCCCGGGGGGCUUUCUGCAGGACUCGGAGCGCCCGUGUGUGCAGCCAGGGGGGAGCGCAGCACAGGGUGCUGUGUUCCCACCCUCAGCUGAGAGCUCACUGCCUGUCCCAGCAACGCUGCCCUCUGGAUCCCUGCUCCGAGCUGCCCCAGCAUGAAGGCUACAAGGAAACUCCGAGCACUCUUCACGUGCCAUUCUCACUUGACUUUUUGUACGUAUGUAUGAAAGUUCUAAACUAAUACUGCUGUAAAGAAAGAUACAGAUUAAUAUAGCAUAUUAUAUAAAGAUAUAUGUAUAUAAUUUUUUCCCCCCCCUUAUAUUGUAUGGCACUGUAUAAAAUGAAUGUCGAAGCAUGACUGGUGUGUAUGUGACUGUUCCCAAGCCUGACCUGGGGAAUGACAGCUGUGAUUUGCCUGUACCUUUGUCCCAAAGGGUUGUGUGUGAGUUUGGAAGCCUGCACCGUGCCCUCCCAUUGCAGUGGGUCGUGGCGUGAGACGCUGCAUCGCUGUGGCUGCCUGGGGAUCAGUUCUGGUGUUGGUCUCCUUGCCAGCUCUGUCCCUGCGGUGCAAUGGGAGAAACAUCCCUGCAGAGCAAAGGACACGGCGUCGUGUAGGUUUGUCAGGCAGGAUGUGAAUGCCUGGUGCUGUUUAUGGAUGUAUAACGCCGUAAUCAUAAGUAUUCUGGACGGAGGGAAGCAGUAGGGGAGGAAGGAGAAAUAAGGGAAGCGGGGGGAGCCGGGUCAGGAGAGGAGCAGGGGCUUUCUGAGCAGCCAUGAGGAAUGCGGGCUGGAAAAGGAACGCCUGGAAGAAAAUAAUGCUAUUAAUGGCUGCACGGAGGGGUUUUGGGGGUGUUCCUGAAGAGGCUGAGCACUAUCAGGGAAUUAAGAGCUCAGAGGUGGCUGAACUACUGAGUUCCUAUAAAAAUGCCUAUAAAAAGUGCUGGUAUGCUGAAGUGCCUGCCUGACGCUUUGGUUUGGCUUCGUUUUGUUUUCCUACCCCUAACUAUCAGGUAGUCUCAUAAAAAGAUAUUACUUCUAUAAACACUUCCUCUCUCAGGGAGAGAGAAAACCAUUCAACUCUGGAUCCUACCCUUGUGUAAACACAAAACAAUCCAUGCUGUGGAGGGACUGUUCUAAUACGGUUACUAAGGAGAAGGCUUCUGAGUGUGAUCACAGCAGGCACUGUGGAUGUUGAAAGCCCUGGCAGGGAUGGAGCUGCUAUUCCCGAGACGACUCUCGGGCUGCUUGGUUCGAUGGUGGAUUGAGCAAGGGGAGCGUUUCAGCUCGUUGGCCAUGAAGAGCCACAGCAGAGGGUGCUGUGCUUGUGCUGGCAGUGCUGCGGGCACCCUCAGGCCUGGAGUAGUGCUGCCUGCCUGCUCCUAGGGCUCGCUGCCGUACAAACAGCCACGCUGCUGGAACACUUCGAACUCCAUUGGGUGAAGCUUGAGAUGCGAGUGCAGCAGGAGCUGCUUUCCAGCCUGCCCAGGAGACUUCUCGUGCUGCUCCUCGUGGCCGUCCUGACCCCCAGCACCGCUGGCUCCCCGUGCUUCUGGCCGCAGCCACAAAAGCUCCCCCAGAACGCGCGUCCCUCGCUGGCCGACCUUCCUUUAUCCUUUUAAUCAAUGGUGGCGUUCUCUCCAUCUUGGGAACAAACCUCUCGUAGUUAAUGGAUAACCAGGGAGAGAUUUAUCAGCACCGUUCUCUUGCCAAGAGGAGAUAACCGGGCGAGCCCGCCGUGGUCUGCUUCCGCCUGCAGCAGCUGCCUUGGGUGUGGAUGGGGCAUCCAAGGAGGGUGAGCCCGCAUCCUCCACUGCCUCCCUGUCUGCUACUGGAGGAGGCGCACAGCCUCAGCACGGGGCUCUGAGGGUAGCGAGGCUCCACGAGGAUGGACCACGAGGAGGCCUGAUCCACCUGCACCUGCAGGAGCGCCUUUGUGGUGUGCUGGUCCCACGCCUGGAAGACCAAGGCGCCCAUGGGAUGCAUUCCACUACAGCCAUCAUUGCUGAAGAUGAGCCAAAUAGGUCUCCUGCAGCCGCGUGUUCACGUGGGACAUCUUGCCCCCAAAGCAUUGGUGUUGUGGUUGUCUUUCCAAUUGGUUUUGCGGCGCUCCUGGGAAUCGAGGCUCCUCACCAACCAUUGCUUGCAUCCUUCAAGCCCCUCAGAGCCCCACUUUGUGGGCAGGAGUUGCACAAAGCACGAGCCAGAGGCAGCCCGAGCAAGCAGAGUUUUGUUUAGGUGGCUGCACCACUUCCAUUCUGCAAUGCCUUCGCUCUGCACAGCUGGCAGGAGGAUCCCAGAAUAACCACGCUUGCUGAGGGGGGAAGAAUUGCAGCAGUGUUUGAGGCGAGGAGAAGCUGUCACACAAAGCAGAAAGCUAUCGGGCAGCCCGUGGGGACCCACAGGGAGGAGAGAACGCAGUAUCUGCAGGAAGAUGAGGCUGUUCCCAGCAAGCAGGCAGGGAGCAAUCUAGGAUGUACCUUACACAUCCGCGAUAACCCUAUCAGCAGUGUUGAAGCUAGCGUGGCCGAUGACCCCAGGCUGAAUGGCUCUCCUUUGUACCGUGCUGAUGAAUAUCCCAGCAGCAUCCUCUCUGCUCCUGCUGACUUGUCACUGUAAAGGGUCUGAGGUUUCGGAGACCACAAACUCUCCCAGCUGUGUUUGAGAACACAGGGUGAGGGGUGGGGGGCACUGAGCUGUGUUUUGGUUUUCAGCUGAACUUUGAAAUUUAGUGCUGGAAG
rnacentral:lncRNA from 1 species